UUCACGUGAGGCGCGAUCAUAGCAUGGUCCAUGCCAGGAUCAGAGCAAGUUAAAGACGGCGCAUGGAUCACACCAUGCGCCGUUCCUUCACCAGGUUGAAUAGCCAUUGCGUGAGCCUGCGUCUUCCGCCGCCGGUUCGAUCGUGAACUAGCGGCCAGACUCCACCUUUCAUCCCUGCGCAAACGCGAGACGCGUCAGGCGAAGGACAUCAUUGCCCGU
rnacentral:misc_RNA from 1 species